rnacentral:rRNA from 1 species
AACGAACGCUGGCGGCGUGCUUAACACAUGCAAGUCGAACGAUGAAGCCCAGCUUGCUGGGUGGAUUAGUGGCGAACGGGUGAGUAACACGUGGGCAACCUGCCCCAAACUCUGGGAUAACUCCUCGAAAGAGGUGCUAAUACCGGAUACGAACUAGGUAGACAUCUGCACUAGUUGGAAAGUUUUUCGGUUUGGGAUGGGCCCGCGGCCUAUCAGCUUGUUGGUGAGGUAACGGCUCACCAAGGCUACGACGGGUAACCGGCCUGAGAGGGCGACCGGUCACACUGGGACUGAGACACGGCCCAGACUCCUACGGGAGGCAGCAGUGGGGAAUAUUGCGCAAUGGGCGAAAGCCUGACGCAGCGACGCCGCGUGAGGGAUGAAGGUCUUCGGAUCGUAAACCUCUUUCAGUAGGGACGGUGCGAAAGUGACGGUACCUAAAGAAGAAGCACCGGCUAACUACGUGCCAGCCGCCGCAGUAA